AAUGAGAACUUUGAAGACUGAAGUGGAGAAAGGUUCCAUGUGAACAGCAAUUGGACAUGGGUUAGUCGAUCCUAAGAGAUGAGGUAAUUCUGUAUGAAGGGUCCAAUCGGACCGUCCAUCGAAAGGGGAUCGGGUUAAAAUUCCCGAACUGGGAUUCGGCUGCGGGCGGUAACGCAAACGAGCCUGGCGACGCCGGCGGGAGCCCCGGGAAGAGUUCUCUUUUCUUUUUAACAGUCUUCGCGCCCUGGAAUCGGUUUAGCCGGAGAUAG
rnacentral:rRNA from 14 species